GGUGGCUCAGUAGUAGAGCGCUUGCCUCGCAUGCAUGAGGCCUUGGGUUCGAUUCCUCAGCACCA
rnacentral:tRNA from 1 species